CUCCUACGGGAGGCAGCAGUGGGGAAUAUUGCACAAUGGGCGAAAGCCUGAUGCAGCCAUACCGCGUGGGUGAAGAAGGCCUUAGGGUUGUAAAGCCCUUUCGGCGAGGAAGAAAGGUUGGAGGUUAAUACCGUGCAACUGUGACGUUACUCGCAGAAGAAGCACCGGCUAACUCCGUGCCAGCAGCCGCGGUAAU
rnacentral:rRNA from 1 species